rnacentral:tRNA from 1 species
GCCUGGGUGGCUCAGUCGGUUAAGUGUCUGACUUCGGCUCAGGUCAUGAUCUCUCAGUUUGUGAGUUCGAGCCCCACAUCGGGCU